GUGAAUCAUCGAAUUUUUGAACGCAAAUUGCACUCUCUUCGGAGAGUAUGCCUGUUUCUGGGUCAGUAUUAAUAAAAAUCGGAGUGUUGCUUCUUUGUGACGUUCCGGAGUUUGGGUCAUCUUAAUAUCCUUUAGGUUUUAAGAGGCUUACCAUUGACUUUUCUUGCGCUUUUUAGAUGUACAUAAAAUCUUUUUUUUAUCCGUCUGUCUUAAUGCUACUAAUUCUAUUAGAUCUGACGAUUUCGUGUGGUUUCGUU
rnacentral:misc_RNA from 1 species